AAUCCCCCUCCCUCCCCCUCCCCCACUUGACUUUCCCGUUCACUGAACCCAACCCCCUUCUCUCUCCCUCUCUCUCUGUCUCUCUGCUUCUCCUUCUCCCCUGCUUUUUCUAUAAUUCAAUUCCCAUUCAAUUCACAAUAAUUACUCUUCCCCCAUCAGGCCAAUACACUGCACCAAAUCUUUAUUCGUUCGUUCGUUCGUUCGUUCGUUCACCUCGUCCGUCCCCUCCCCCUGCCCCCUUCCCAGAAAUAGCAGGGGAACCCUCCACCGUUCGUUGCCUUUCACCUGCCGCUCCCUCUUUGUCUUUCUUGGCUGAGUUAUUGAACCAGCGCGCACUCGGUCCGCUUCGCCUGCGCGUUUCCCGUUUCUGGGUCUUCUUGAUUCGGUGGAGUCGAACCGAGAACGAGACGAAAGUUGAAGAAGAAUUUGGAACAGAGCGAGGGCGCCCGGAGGGGCUGAGAUGCGAAGGAGUCUUCCCUGGCCGAACCCGUCUUCCUUCUGCUCCGCGCGUUCUUGUCCGGGGUUGAGAUCUCCGCAUAACAGCUGCCGUCUCAUUCAGCAUCACAGCUGGAUCAUGGGGACUUGCCGUGGCUUUGGAUCUGAACUCUAGCGUCUCAGAGUUGGAAUUAGCACAUGUCAGCCGUGUCUUGCUGUUUAAACAACGUCGGUGAGGAUAUUGAGAUAAGGGAGUUGAUCGGAUAUAAGGGAAUUGAUCGAGCGUUAGGCACUUUCGUCGCCUGCUCGUCUUCGGUUCAUUUGGUUACCGUUCAGAUAAGCAUUGGCCCCAUCUGCCGUGCCGGGAAUUUCGAGCCACUGGAGCAUUCGUAUUUGUAGAUGAAUUUCGAACUUGAUCGAG